AAGUGCGAUCAUACCAGUACUAAUGCAUCGGAUCCCAUCAGAACUCCGCAGAUAAGCGUGCUUGGGCGAGAGUAGUACUAGGAUGGGUGACCUCCUGGGAAGUCCUCGUGUUGCA
rnacentral:rRNA from 1 species